AAUUCUCAACUUCAAAAGCUUUGUCUUUCUGAAGCUUGGAUGUGAAGGCUGCUGGCGUCUUAGAUGUUCAGCUCCUUUAAAAUGCAUUAGUGGACCCGUUUGUGUUCAACCUUAGUGUGAUAAUUAUCUACGCUAUGGCUUUGAAUACUUGCUCAUUAGAACUUUUCGGGGUGUUUUUACAUUCUCGGUUUGGAGGGUUGCAUUAGGUUGCUCUCUCUGUCUAUUGAGUUAGGAUUGUCUGCUUCAAACCGUCUGCACUCGUAGACAAUUUGAACC
rnacentral:misc_RNA from 1 species